AACGAACGCUGGCGGCAUGCUUAACACAUGCAAGUCGAACGUGAAAGUGGGCUUCGGCCCGCGAGUAAAGUGGCGCACGGGUGAGUAACACGUGGAUAGUCUACCCGAUGAUCUGGAAUAACACUUCGAAAGGGGUGCUAAUACCGGAUAAGCCCACGACGUCUUCGGACGAUGUGGGAAAAGGGGGCUUCGGCUCCUGUCAUCGGAUGAGUCCGCGGCCCAUUAGCUAGUUGGUAGGGUAAUGGCCUACCAAGGCGACGAUGGGUAGCUGGGCUGGGAGGAUGAUCAGCCCCACUGGAACUCAGACAAGGUCCGGACUCCUACGGGAGGUAGCAGCGGGGAAUUUUGCGCAGUGGACGAAAGCCUGACGCAUCAAUGCGGCGUGAGUGAAGCAGGCCUUCGGGUUGUAAAGCUCUUUCGGCCGGGAAAAAAUCGCAUGGGCUAAUACCCUGUGUGGAUGAUGGUACCGGAAUAAGAAGCACCGGCUAACUACGUGCCAUCAGCCGCAGUAAGAC
rnacentral:rRNA from 1 species